UUUUCUUUACACUUUUCUAGGGACAUUUUGUGGAAUCGUUUUGGAAACUUUCUGGUAACAUUUUAUCGUACCACCUUGUCCCUUGUACGUUGAAAUUGAAAUUAAAGAAAAAAACAAUGGGAGGGGAAAAAAAACCCCGGGAGAGAUUGUUGGAAACGAUAUGGUCGAAGAAAAAAAGAAGAAAAAGAAAGAAAAAAGAAAGAAAAGAACUUAAUCAAAUUUCAUUUGAUUUUUUUUCCUUUUCCUGAAUGAACAUGAAAAUGUUGAAUGGAUACGUGAUAGAAAGGAAUGUUCGUUAGUAACUGGCAUAUGUUUGCAUUGGCCCGCCAUAUGGCGUUCGCAAAACCGAAGUCUUUCUCAGUGGUUAUAUUACUGAAGUUCCCUUAUUUCUCUUUUACUCUACAGUGAGAUAGAUAGGAGAGUCAGAGAGAGAGAGAGAGAGAGAGAGAGAGAGAGAGAGAGAGAGAGAGAGAGAGAGAGAGAGAGAGAGAAAAUUCUGAGCAGGAUUUCAUCUGUCAACAUCUGUUUCCUUGGUUGAGCAUAAGAUUCCAUUACUUGGAAACUUUCCUCAAGUAGUAAACGAAGAAGAAGAAGACUAUAACGAUCGUAUCCUCUACCUGUCCAUAUACUUUGGUCCCCAUAAGAGAUAUCCCACCACAAAGAUCUAGAUUUCUCUUUGUUCCCUAAAUCUCUUACAUGAAGAUAUAAAAUGGGAGAAAGAUUUUAUAUAUAUAUAUAUAUAAAACAUGUCUAAGUCUUUCUACAUGUUUUUUCAUCGAAACGAUGGAUUUUCACCAUAGGAUUCUUAUAUAGAAAAGGGAGAACACACCAGAAGAUCAGUUAAGACGAACCGAUUGAAGGAGCAUCAGUAAGGGAGAAAGAAAAUUAAACGACAUUUAAGCCCUGUAACAAAGUUUAACGAGUAGGAGUGAAUGAGGAGGAGAACGAGGGAGGGAGAGU